UACGUAGGGACCAAGCGUUGUUCGGAUUUACUGGGCGUAAAGGGCGCGUAGGCGGCAAUUCAAGUCAGUUGUGAAAUCUCCGAGCUUAACUCGGAACGGUCAACUGAUACUGUUUUGCUAGAGUACAGAAGGGGCAAUCGGAAUUCUUGGUGUAGCGGUGAAAUGCGUAGAUAUCAAGAGGAACACCUGAGGUGAAGACGGGUUGCUGGGCUGAUACUGACGCUGAGGCGCGAAAGCCAGGGGAGCGAACGGG
rnacentral:rRNA from 1 species